GGCCCUGUAGCGCAAUGGAAAGCGCGUUGGACUUCUAAUCUAAAGGUCGUCCUGGUCCCGCCUGGGAUUUGAGCCCACGAUGGCCU